GUGCCAGCAGCCGCGGUAAUACGUAGGUGGCAAGCGAUACUCGGAAUCACUAGGCGUAAAGCGCAGGUAGGCGGUUGGGUAAGUCUUUUGUGAAAGCUCCUGGCUUAACUGGGAGAGGUCAAGGGAAACUACCCGGCUAGAGUGUGGCAGAGGAAGCUGGAAUUCCCGGUGUAGCGGUGAAAUGCGUAGAUAUCGGGAGGAAUACCUAUGGCGAAAGCAGGCUUCUGGGCCAUCACUGACGCUGAUCUGCGAAAGCUAGGGGAGCAAACAGGAUUAGAUACCCUGGUAGUCC
rnacentral:rRNA from 1 species